rnacentral:rRNA from 1 species
ACGUAGGGGGCAAGCGUUAUCCGGAUUUACUGGGUGUAAAGGGAGCGUAGACGGCAGCGCAAGUCUGAAGUGAAAGCCCGGGGCUCAACCCCGGAAUGGCUUUGGAAACUGCGCGGCUAGAGUACCGGAGGGGUAAGCGGAAUUCCUAGUGUAGCGGUGAAAUGCGUAGAUAUUAGGAGGAACACCAGUGGCGAAGGCGGCUUACUGGACGGUAACUGACGUUGAGGCUCGAAAGCGUGGGGAGCAAACAG